CCGAGCAGAACCAGAGCGCGCCAACGGCACACGCAGAGCCUGGCCCCGAAUCCUUGCACGUCGGCUCCUCUCUCAAGGAAUCUUCAGCCCUGGGAAAGUAAACCAACUUUUACACCAAGAGUUCGCCCUCACAUCUCCCGAGCUCGUGAGCAGCGAAGCUGGGAUGUGGACACACCAUGGCCUGCUCCUCCCCCCCGCCUCUCCAGCCCAUUUGCCUGGGUGACACGCCUGAGACUCUGCUUUGGCGGCAUCUGGACGGCAUACCUACGUGGCAGCCCUCCACACAGAUGCGUGGCCUGCCUGAGACGAUCAUCACAUGCAGGAGCUGAACAAUAAUCUUAGGCACUUCUCUGCUCAGGCGCUCAGAGUCUGGAAGUUUCUCAGAAGACCAGAAAUGCGGUCAGGCACCCAAUUUCCGGGCUUCUUAGUGCAGUUACCAAACUGAUAGCGUUCAUUUUCGUCUCUUGCUGAAAUAAACCACCCCGAGGGAAGACCAUUUCUGUCUCUCGGGCCGUCCGUGUGCA